UAAAAGCAAUGGGAUGCCCCUCCUGUUGUAGGACAGCCCCCAUACCAGUCCCAUACCAGUCCCACUUGCAUCAGUUUCUAUUAUGAAUGGUUUAGAGAAAUUAGGCAAGGCCAAUAUUGGAGCUUGUGACAUAGCAACUCUAAGGUGCUCAAAGGCCUGUUGUGCCUUAUCAUCCCAAAGAAAAGCAUCCUUUUUUAGCAUGUCAGUAAGUGAUUUGCUAAUUAAUCAAUAAUGAUGCAUAAAUUUUCUAUAGUACCUAGUCAACCCCGAAAAACUCCUCAAUUCCUUCACAGAUUUUGGAACUGGCCAAGAUACCAUUGCUUGUGUCUUUGCUGGAUUAAUAGACACUCCCUUUCCAGAAAUAAUAUGCCCCAAAUAA
rnacentral:misc_RNA from 1 species